CUACAGAAGGUCUACGAAGCGGUUUGUUUCGGAUUUCAUUUGGGCGUUGAAAGGGUGCGAUAGGCGGGCGCGGAGUGAAGUUCGGGUUGGUGAAAACUCUCGGAGCUUAACUCCGAAACAUGCAUUCGCAUAACUGCCGUGCUUUGAGGACUGGAGAGGAGACUGGAAUUCCGAUGUAGCGGUGAAAUGCGCAGAUAGUCGGGAGGAACACCAGUAG
rnacentral:rRNA from 1 species